GAUGAACGCUGGCGGCGUGCCUAAUACAUGCAAGUCGAGCGAACAGACGAGGAGCUUACUCCUCUGACGUUAGCGGCGGACGGGUGAGUAACGCGUGGAUAACCUACCUAUAAGACUGGGAUAACUUCGGGAAACCGGAGCUAAUACCGGAUAACAUGUUGAACCGCAUGGUUCAACAGUGAAAGACGGUCUUGCUGUAACUUAUAGAUGGAUCCGCGUCGCAUUAGCUAGUUGGUAAGGUAACGGCUUACCAAGGCAACGAUGCGUAGCCGACCUGAGAGGGUGAUCGGCCACACUGGAACUGAGACACGGUCCAGACUCCUACGGGAGGCAGCAGUAGGGAAUCUUCCGCAAUGGGCGAAAGCCUGACGGAGCAACGCCGCGUGAGUGAAGAAGGUCUUCGGAUCGUAAAACUCUGUUAUUAGGGAAGAACAAAUGUGUAAGUAACUAUGCACGUCUUGACGGUAACUAAUCAGAAAGGCACGGCUAACUACGUG
rnacentral:rRNA from 1 species